UAUGGAAACACUGCGGCUCAUACAAUCACCAAAGUUAAGCAAUGUCAAGCCUGCUGAGUACUUAGAUGGGUGACCACUUGGGAAUAUGAGGUUCUGUAA